rnacentral:rRNA from 1 species
AUUGAACGCUGGCGGCAGGCCUAACACAUGCAAGUCGAACGAGUGGCGGACGGGUGAGUAAUGUCUGGGAAACUGCCUGAUGGAGGGGGAUAACUACUGGAAACGGUAGCUAAUCCCGCAUACCUACGGAUGUGCCCAGAUGGGAUGAGCUAGUAGGUGGGGUAACGGCUCACCUAGGCGACGAUCCCUAGCUGGUCUGAGAGGAUGACCAGCCAACCUGGAACUGAGACACGGUCCGGCCGCCUACGGGAGGGAGGAGUUGGGAAGAUUGCACUAUGGGCGCAAACCUGAUGGAGCCAUGCCGGGUGUAUGUAGAAGGCCUGCGGAUUGUAAAGUACUUUCAGCGGGGAGGCGUUACUGGCAGAAGAAGCACCGGAUAACUCCGUGCCAGCAGCCGCGGUAAUUC